rnacentral:rRNA from 1 species
GUACACGCUGUGACUAGCAUAUCAAUAAGCGGAGGAAAAGAAACUAACAAGGAUUCCCCUAGUAACGGCGAGUGAAGCGGGAAGAGCUCAAAUUUGAAAUCUUAAAGGGUUUCCCUUUACGAAUUGUAGUUUAAAGAAGUGUUUUCUGUUGAGGUUUUGGUAAAAGUUCUUUGGAAUAGGACAUCAUAGAGGGUGAGAAUCCCGUAUUUGACCUUUACUUUCAACUUUGUGAUACACUUUCAAAGAGUCGGAUUGUUUGGGAAUGCAGUCCAAAAUGGGUGGUAAAUUUCAUCUAAAGCUAAAUAUUGGCGAGAGACCGAUAGCGAACAAGUACCGUGAGGGAAAGAUGAAAAGAACUUUGAAAAGAGAGUUAAACAGUACGUGAAAUUGUCAAAAGGGAAGCGUUUGACACCAGUGUUGUUUUUCUGAAAAUCAAUUAAAGAACUGUUUAUGCUAAGCUGUUUAGACUUUAUCAGCUAUCUGUUUAGUUUUAGGCUUUUCUUUAAUGCACUUUUCAGUUAACAAGUCAACAUCAAUUUCUUUUGCUGUAAAAAAGCUUGAGGAAGGUGGCUUGAGAUUCGUCUUAAGUGUUUAUAGCCUCUUGCCUAUGCAGUCGGAGAGAUUGAGGUCUGCAGCGUAGAUCCUUCGGGGCUAAAUGCAUUUGUGCUAAGUUAUAGCAUUUUAUAGACAACUUGUUGACUAUGAUUUGUCUUGUAGCUUACUCGCUUAUGUUAUUUUACCUACGCUUAGGAUGUUGAUAUGCAUGACUGAUAU